rnacentral:rRNA from 1 species
UACGGGGGGAGCAAGCGUUGUUCGGAUUUACUGGGCGUAAAGGGCGCGUAGGCGGCCACCGCAAGUCGACUGUGAAAUCUCCGGGCUUAACCCGGAAAGGUCAGCCGAUACUGCGGGGCUAGAGUGCAGAAGGGGCAACUGGAAUUCUCGGUGUAGCGGUGAAAUGCGUAGAUAUCGAGAGGAACACCUGCGGCGAAGGCGGGUUGCUGGGCUGACACUGACGCUGAGACACGAAAGCGUGGGUAGCAAACAGG